UAAGAACCACAGAAAUCGAUCUAAAUAACAUACUUGUCAAAGAGAAGCCACUGAAAUCUUUGAGAAACGCGGAUAGCGAAAGCCCCAAAUCGAAACCCCUAAAUCUGAGAAACCUGAAAAUCAAACCCUAAAUGUGAUUAAAACCCCAAAUCGAAACUCAAACCAGACAAUUUCACAAUGCAAACCCUAAAUCGAUUACAAAAGAAACAUAACCUUCUCGAUUUAGAACCAGAUCUGUGACUGAGAAGCUGAAGAGUACCAAAAGAGAUUGAGGCGUUGAGCAAGAACACGAACAGAGACGGGAGAGAGACAGACAGCUGAAGAACACGAACACAAACAGAGAGAAUUGAAAAAGAGAAUUGAAAGAGAUGAAGAACAGUGAGAUGAAAAACAGUGAGAACACGAACAAUGUUUUUUGGCCUUAGAAAAAAAUUUCGGGGUUAAAAGUCACCAAAUAUUUUAUUCUCCAACGAGCAAAAAAAUUUCAUUCCGCGCUACUAUAUUAGGUAGCGGUUUUUGUAAAUUAGUGCUAUCGAAUAAUAACCCCUAAUCUAAAAAUAUUGACCCGAGUCAUUUUAUUUCCCGGGGUAAGAUAGUAUAACGUUUUGAAAACCAAACGUUAUAACGUUUUAGCUGGUUAGUAAAUUAUAGCAGAACACGAUUAACUGCUACAAUAUAAUAUUAUAAAUGCUCAAUAUUCUUCUAGUAAUU
rnacentral:sRNA from 1 species